rnacentral:rRNA from 1 species
GACGAACGCUGGCGGCAUGCCUAAUACAUGCAAGUCGAGCGGACUUGAUGAGAAGCUUGCUUCUCUGAUAGUUAGCGGCGGACGGGUGAGUAACACGUGGGCAACCUGCCCUCAAGCUUGGGACAACUACCGGAAACGGUAGCUAAUACCGAAUACUUGCUUUCUUCGCCUGAAGGGAGCUGGAAAGACGGAGCAAUCUGUCACUUGAGGAUGGGCCUGCGGCGCAUUAGCUAGUUGGUGAGGUAACGGCUCACCAAGGCGACGAUGCGUAGCCGCCCUGAGGGGUGAUCGGCCACACUGGGACUGAGACACGGCCCAGAGUCCUACGGGAGGCAGCAGUAGGGAAUCUUCCGCAAUGGGCGAAAGCCUGACGGAGCAAUGCCGCGUGAGUGAUGAAGGUUUUCGGAUCGUAAAGCUCUGUUGCCAGGGAAGAACGUCCUUGAGAGUAACUGCUCAAGGAGUGACGGUACCUGAGAAGAAAGCCCCGGCUAACUACGUGCCAGCAGCCGCCGUAAGAC